UUCGUAGGUGGCCAACUAAGUCAUACGUGAAAUCCCUCAGCUUAACUGGGGAACUGCGCCUGAUACUGGUUGGCUUGAGUGCAGGAGAGGAACGCGGAAUUCCAGGUGUAGCGGUGGAAUGCGUAGAUAUCUGGAGGAACACCGGUGGCGAAGGCGGCGUUCUGGACUGCAACUGACACUGAGGAACGAAAGCCAGGGGAGCAAACG
rnacentral:rRNA from 1 species